GUUUAAUUGACUCACAGUUCCACAUGGCUGGAAACUUACAGGGAAACUGACAAUCAUGGCAGAAGGGGAAGCAAGGAGUUCUUCACAUGGUGGCAAGAGAGAGAAGAGUGAGCAAAGGAAGAACUUGUCAAACACUUAUAAAACUAUCAGAUCUCAUGAGAACUCACUCACUAUCCAGAGAACAGCAUGGGUGAAACUGCCCCUAGGAUCUAAUCACCUACCACCAGGUUCCUCAACACUUGGGGAUUACAAUUCAAGAUGAGAUUUGGGUGGGGACACAAAACCUAACCAUAUCAAUGAGGCUCAGGAUGUUUAAGUGAUAUCCCUGAGGCAGCCCCACUAACAGGUGCUUGAGUUGGGAUUCAAACCCUCUCCAGCUGGCAUCAGAGCCAGAGCUUCUUGAACUGCGCUGCACUGUCCCCUACUGGCUCCAUUCUCUCAUCAUUGCUGAUUAAGGAUCACAGAGCUUAUCAAGACUUCCACCUGGGAUCACCCAUCAUUCUGCCCUUUCGAAUUCUGAGCUGACAUCACCUCUGGGUAUAUCAGUGAACUACACAGACUCAGCCAACAGAAAACCAUGGAGAAGAGAUCUUGUUAUCAUUACUGAAAUUUUGAUUUUAAAUGGAAAGUUUAUUUUCAGCCAAGAAAAAGCUGGUGAGAAAGAAGCAAAUGAACCAAGUAUUUGUUUAUGUACUUCACAUUACAAGGCUGGUUAAA
rnacentral:lncRNA from 1 species